UCGGGUUGUCAGUGUGGGCAAGUCGCAUGGAAAUGCGCGCCGUGGAGGGUGAGAGCCCCGUCCAACUCACACAGGACAUAUCCGCACGAGGGCGUUUCAGAUGAGUCGGGUAGCUUGGGAAUGCUGCUCUAAUCGGUGGUAAAUCUCAUCGAAGGCUAAAUAGCGGCUGGAGACCGAUAGCGAACAAGUACCGUGAGGGAAAGAUGACAAGCACUUUGAAAAGAGGGUGAAAAGAGCCUGAAACCGUCACGGGGGAAGCGGAUCGCGUUGGAUUGAUGGGCGCUUGCGUGUUCAGCCCUUUGGGUGCAUUGGCGCAAGUUGCUUAUCCGCUGUGAGUUUUCGGGGGUCGAUUUUGGACCCCUGGGGACUGAGGGCUCCCUUUUACAGGUGAGGACAGCGGAGUGACGACGCGAUACGACCCGUCUUGAAACACGGACCAAGGAGUCUAGCGCGGGUGCGAGUCGGAGGGUGCAAGCCCGUGGGCGAAGUGAAAGCGAGUGUAAAAACGAGCAGUUUGGGGCGGCAUAAGAUCGUUGAUCUUAAGACCGACCCAGAGCAGUUGCGCUGGGACCCGAAAGAUGGUGAACUAUGCCGGAGUAGGGCAAAGCCAGAGGAAACUCUGGUGGAGGCUCGUAGCGGUGCUGACGUGCAAAUCGCUCGUCGAACUUGGGUAUAGGGGCGAAAGACUAAUCGAACCAUCUAGUAGCUGGUUCCCUCCGAAGUUUCUCUCAGGAUAGCGGGCCGACAAGUUGUUUUGUGCGGUAAAGCGAAUGAUUAGCGCAUUUCGGGGGCGUUUAGCCUUUGGGCGAUUCUCAAACUUUCAAUGCGCAAGGGUGCCGCUGCUUAAUUGAGCGGUACCGGUAAAAACGUCGGCCCUGUGGGCCACUUUUGGUAAGCAGAACUGGCGAUACGGGAUGAACCGUAAGCAUGGUUAAGGCGCCAAACUGCCCGCUUAUAGACCCCACAAAAGGUGUUGAUUCAUCG
rnacentral:rRNA from 1 species